rnacentral:rRNA from 1 species
CCACACUUUAAAAAACUGUCCACGUGAACUGUAAGCAAGUCUAGCGCUGUGACUGAGCUGGUGUUUUCAUUUUUGGACACUGGAACGGGAGUCAGCAGGACGAAGGUUGGUCUGUUGUAAUGCAAGUUAUGAUGGACUAGCUGAUGAACUUUUGUUUUUAAACCCUUACCUAAAUACUGAUUUAUACUGUGGGGACGAAAGUCCUUGCUUUUACUAGAUAACAACUUUCAGCAGUGGAUGUCUAGGCUCGCACAUCGAUGAAGAACGCUGCGAACUGCGAUACGUAAUGCGAAUUGCAGAAUUCAGUGAGUCAUCGAAAUUUUGAACGCAUAUUGCACUUUCGGGUUAUGCCUGGAAGUAUGUCUGUAUCAGUGUCCGUAAAUCAAACUUGCCUUUCUUUUUCUGUGUAGUCAGGGAUGGAAUGUGCAGAUGUGAAGUGUCUCGCAUGGUUGCGUUCGUUUUUUCGAUCGAGAAUCUGUCGAGUCCUUUUAAAUGGACACGGUCUUUUCUAUGGUUUCUAUGAAGUGUAAUGGUUGGAAGGCAGUGAUUUUCGGAUUGCUGGCGGCUUUUGGCGACUUCGGUAUGAACGUAUGGAGACUAGCUCAAUUCGUGGUAUGUUAGGCUUCGGCUCGACAAUGUUGCGUAAUUGUGUGUGGUCUUUGUUUGUGCCUUGAGGUGUACUAGAGGUUGUCGGUUUGAACCGUAAGUGAUUGUUUAGUAGAGCAUUUUCACGAUGUAUGGAGACGCUGCAUUUAGUUGCGUAGAGAGAUUGAUUUGGGAAAUUUUUGUAUCAUUGUCAAUUGCAAGAUUGUGUAUGGUAUCUCAA